rnacentral:lncRNA from 1 species
GGAUUGCGGCGUCACUAUCAGCUGAGAUCGCGCAAAGCGUUGAGAACAUUUAUUCGUAAGCCUCAAAACCUCAAUCAAAAUUCGUAAGCCUCUGAUUCGAGUAAAAGGUGAAAAUACCCUUUUGAAUCAUUUUUAGAACUUAAGAGAAUGAAAGAGAUUCAACAACAACGGCAUCAUAAGCUUCUGAUUCUAUACGCAACUCAAACUGGUAACGCAUUGGAUGCUGCUGAAACUCUUGCUCGUUAAGCCGAACGUAGAGCUUGCCCCAUCAAUCUCCUUUCUCUUCAUCAAUAUGAUCUUAAUCUGUUGUCACAGGAAGAAGAUGUGGUUUCUCACAUUGAGUUUGUGCUGCAACCUUAAAUAGCAAUUUUCUCAAUUCACAUGUUGUAAUUUUACUUGAUAAUUGAAGAUGCAAUCGAGCAAGCAGUGAUGGGCGACAAUGGGGAAGAUGAAGUGGUCGUAUCCAAUUUUAAUUCUGAAGUGAAGACAAUGGGGAAGAUGGAAGUGUCUCGUAUCC